rnacentral:rRNA from 1 species
UACGGGGGGAGCAAGCGUUGUUCGGAGUUACUGGGCGUAAAGGGUGUGUAGGCGGUUGUUUAAGUUUGGUGUGAAAUCUCCCGGCUCAACUGGGAGGGUGCGCCGAAUACUGAAUGACUUGGAGUGCGGGAGAGGUGAGUGGAAUUCCUGGUGUAGCGGUGAAAUGCGUAGAUAUCAGGAGGAACACCGGUGGUGUAGACGGCUCACUGGACCGUAACUGACGCUGAGACACGAAAGCGUGGGUAGCAAACAGG